GCCCGGAUGGCGGAAUAGGUAGACGCACAAGACUUAAAAUCUUGCGACCUUUACCGGUCGUGCCAGUUCGAUUCUGGUUCUGGGCA
rnacentral:tRNA from 1 species